GCAUGGUUUGGUGGUGUGGGCCUAUAGUCCCAGCUACUUCAGAAGCAAAGGCAGGGGGAUCCCAGGAACCCCGAAUUCUGGGUUACGGUGUGCCAUGCUGAUGGGUAUUUGUACUAAGUCUGGCAUCAGUAUGGUAACCUCCUGGGAGAAGGGAUUUGCGUGUUACCUAAGGAAGGGUGAACAGAACAAGGUUAAAACUCCCGUGCUGGUCAGUGGGGGGAUUAUCACUGAACAGCCACUGCACUCCAGCCUGGCUGACACAGUGAAAUCCUGUCUCUU
rnacentral:SRP_RNA from 1 species